rnacentral:rRNA from 1 species
GACGAACGCUGGCGGCGUGCUUAACACAUGCAAGUCGAACGGAAAGGCCUGCUUUCCCUUGUGGAUUGCGGGUACUCGAGUGGCGAACGGGUGAGUAACACGUGAGUGAUCUGCCCCCAACUUGGGUAUAAGCCCGGGAAACUGGGUCUAAUUCCCGAUAGGACUGCAGGGUGGUGCCUGUGGUGGAAAACGAUUUUCUAGUGGUUGGGGAUGAGCUCGCGGCCUAUCAGCUUGUUGGCGGGGUAAUGGCCUACCAAGGCGGCGACGGGUAGCCGGCCUGAGAGGGUGGACGGCCACAUUGGGACUGAGAUACGGCCCAGACUCCUACGGGAGGCAGCAGUGGGGAAUAUUGCACAAUGGGCGGAAGCCUGAUGCAGCGACGCCGCGUGGGGGAUGACGGCCUUCGGGUUGUAAACUCCUUUCGACCGCGAGGAAGCCACCUGGUUGGAAGGGUGGUGACGGUAGUGGUAGAAGAAGCACCGGCUAACUACGUG